AGAGUUUGAUCAUGGCUCAGAUUGAACGCUGGCGGCAGGCCUAACACAUGCAAGUCGAACGGUAACAGGAAGAAGCUUGCUUCUUUGCUGACGAGUGGCGGACGGGUGAGUAAUGUCUGGGAAACUGCCUGAUGGAGGGGGAUAACUACUGGAAACGGUAGCUAAUACCGCAUAACGUCGCAAGACCAAAGAGGGGGACCUUCGGGCCUCUUGCCAUCGGAUGUGCCCAGAUGGGAUUAGCUUGUUGGUGGGGUAACGGCUCACCAAGGCGACGAUCCCUAGCUGGUCUGAGAGGAUGACCAGCCACACUGGAACUGAGACACGGUCCAGACUCCUACGGGAGGCAGCAGUGGGGAAUAUUGCACAAUGGGCGCAAGCCUGAUGCAGCCAUGCCGCGUGUAUGAAGAAGGCCUUCGGGUUGUAAAGUACUUUCAGCGGGGAGGAAGGGAGUAAAGUUAAUACCUUUGCUCAUUGACGUUACCCGCAGAAGAAGCACCGGCUAACUCCGUGCCAGCAGCCGCGGUAAUACGGAGGGUGCAAGCGUUAAUCGGAAUUACUGGGCGUAAAGCGCACGCAGGCGGUUUGUUAAGUCAGAUGUGAAAUCCCCGGGCUCAACCUGGGAACUGCAUCUGAUACUGGCAAGCUUGAGUCUCGUAGAGGGGGGUAGAAUUCCAGGUGUAGCGGUGAAAUGCGUAGAGAUCUGGAGGAAUACCGGUGGCGAAGGCGGCCCCCUGGACGAAGACUGACGCUCAGGUGCGAAAGCGUGGGGAGCAAACAGGAUUAGAUACCCUGGUAGUCCACGCCGUAAACGAUGUCGACUUGGAGGUUGUGCCCUUGAGGCGUGGCUUCCGGAGCUAACGCGUUAAGUCGACCGCCUGGGGAGUACGGCCGCAAGGUUAAAACUCAAAUGAAUUGACGGGGGCCCGCACAAGCGGUGGAGCAUGUGGUUUAAUUCGAUGCAACGCGAAGAACCUUACCUGGUCUUGACAUCCACGGAAGUUUUCAGAGAUGAGAAUGUGCCUUCGGGAACCGUGAGACAGGUGCUGCAUGGCUGUCGUCAGCUCGUGUUGUGAAAUGUUGGGUUAAGUCCCGCAACGAGCGCAACCCUUAUCC
rnacentral:rRNA from 1 species